rnacentral:rRNA from 1 species
GAUGAACGCUAGCGGCAGGCCUAAUACAUGCAAGUCGAACGAUAGUGAGAAGCUUGCUUCUCACGAAAGUGGCGCACGGGUGCGUAACGCGUAUGCAACCUACCUUAAUCAGGGGGAUAGCCCGAAGAAAUUCGGAUUAACACCGCAUAAAAUCACAGUAUAGCAUUAUACAAUGAUCAAAUAUUUAUAGGAUUAAGAUGGGCAUGCGUGACAUUAGUUAGUUGGCGGGGUAACGGCCCACCAAGACCACGAUGUCUAGGGGAUCUGAGAGGAUGACCCCCCACACUGGUACUGAGACACGGACCAGACUCCUACGGGAGGCAGCAGUAAGGAAUAUUGGUCAAUGGAGGCAACUCUGAACCAGCCAUGCCGCGUGCAGGAAGACAGCCCUCUGGGUCGUAAACUGCUUUUAUUCGGGAAUAAACCUAUCUACGUGUAGAUAGCUGAAUGUAGCGAAGGAAUAAGGAUCGGCUAACUCCGUGCCAGCAGCCGCAGUAA